ensembl:lncRNA
AGAUCUCCGGUGUCAGUGUUUCCAGGGGGAGGAUUAUUUUGGGCUUCUGGAAACUCAUCUCAUCCUACGCAGAGGAAGGACAGAGACAUCUUUACCCAAACAAACGCUCCUCUUUAACCGUCCAAAAACAGAAAUGCUAAUGAAUCAGUCAGCUUCUAGUGUGAGCCAGCGCUCCAGACGUCUUCAUUUCUAUAGCUGCAGGAAGGUAAAUAAACCCAAGCUCAGUGUCAGCGCUGAAGCAGCGUUCUGGAGGAAGGGUUAGAGUUAGACAUCACAAAUAUUCUGUGUGUGUUUGUUUAUAUGUGUUCAAUUAAACAGUUAGUACAUGUAACAAUAUUCUAGUGCUGCUGGGUAAAAAUAAAUAAGUUUCAAUAUAUAUGUAUUUUCA